ACUUUCUUAAUAUGCACUGUCACUUGAGGU
rnacentral:piRNA from 1 species